GCCGGCGUAGCUCAGCAGGUAGAGCAGCUGACUUGUAAUCAGCAGGUCACCGGUUCGAGUCCGGUCGCCGGCUCCA
rnacentral:tRNA from 2 species